ACAAACAUGGGCUAAACGCGACCUGCUCAGUUUCCACUCCUCUCUUCUAAAAUCAUAGAGUCUUAUUAGUCUAAGGCGUUCACCAGUGUGAGUGAUAGCCUUCCACGUCCGUGUUUACAUGCGAGACGGAUGGGUCACUCACGAAGGUAAAUGUGGCAGAUAUGCACCUUACGUGUAUCACUGCAGCGGUUAGAACUUUUUGUCGCGCAACAUCCCAUUCGCUGUGGUUGGUGCUAUUGGAAAAGCUACCAAUAUUUGACAGUUUAUAAAGUCAGCCUGUAUGGACUAGGCAACAAAAUAAAAUAAAAAACAUUUCCGAUUUCCGAUUCUGUACAAGGUUGGCUGAGCUCAGCAAAAGUUGGGAAUGUUCUUUUUGUUAGUAGCACUCAAAGGAGUAAGAAGUGCGCGCGAUUCUCCCGAUUAAACUUAGUGAAAAUAAAAGUCAGUGAGCAUUUGUAAAUUUAUGAUACUAUUGUACAGUUAAAAUUAGUAAUACGUGUUAAAACAGCGACAAGGCAUCCACAGUUAACACGAAAACGUAGGAAAAUUUGUUAAAAGGUAAAAUAAUAAAAUAAAUUAUGUAUAGUGGAUGUAGGUUAGAUCUCAGCAAACACGUGACAAAAUUGCUAAUGUCUUCUGGGUAGGUCCCAGUGGCCUUUUUGUUUCGGGCUGGAGACUUGGUCCGAAGCCAUUUUCAUUUACAGUGACCAACGGAGAGAAACCUGACGCGGUCCAACCGCAAGCCACUCCAAGGCAACUCCGACCUCACUAGUCCCACGUCAAUUGGUGAACUUUAAAGACAGAUUCGAUAAACAUCAAGGCAUACAGGAUAAAGAGAACCCCGUGUGUUGCUUCUGUGAGAUGGCGUCCCACAUACCGUUGGUUGGGACGAUUCCGUAGAAAAUUCCAAGACUACCUACGGCUGGCACAUGGUCAGUUACUAUUGAAGAUUAUCGAUCAUCUCGUCGAAGAUAAUGCACACUACUAUUCCGGAAUAAAAACCGCAAGUAAAACAAUCCCAUGUGACGUCACAUAGAUUUAAGAAAACCAAUGUUAGGCUAGCAAUAAAUUUGUUAAUAAUGUCCAGAAAAUCUGUGUCAGUUUAGUUUGAAAGGGUAGUCAUUAUUAGUGUCGUUACACACUAUUUUGCAUCGGUUUCCAGGCUCGAAAGGGGCCUCCAGCCCUCGCCUUCGAGUGCUCACCUCAAAGAAAGAUUCCCGAAUUUCGCUUUUGAGCAUUUGGUAAAGUAGCAUUUGCGCCUAUUGGUAGUCCACCUUGACCAUUACCUACAGUGAAUGUUUCGUUUUCCUAAUGUUCCCGUUAGCAAAAGAAUACACGUGGUGAGUAUAUGCUAGCACCGAACGUUGAACAGUAGUAGUGUGAAUAACCCGUC